AUAUCAGUCAUGCAUAGCAUAUCAAUAAGCGGAGGAAAAGAAACUAACAAGGAUUCCCUUAGUAACGGCGAGUGAAGCGGGAAGAGCUCAAAUUUGAAAUCUUCAAGGUUUUACCUUGACGAAUUGUAGCUUAAAGAAGUGUUUUCUGUUGAAGUUUUGGUAAAAGUUCUUUGGAAUAGGACAUCAUAGGAGGGUGAGAAUCCCGUAUUUGACCAUUACUUUCAGCUUUGUGAUACACUUUCAAAGAGUCGGAUUGUUUGGGAAUGCAGUCCAAAAUGGGUGGUAAAUUUCAUCUAAAGCUAAAUAUUGGCGAGAGACCGAUAGCGAACAAGUACCGUGAGGGAAAGAUGAAAAGAACUUUGAAAAGAGAGUUAAACAGUACGUGAAAUUGUCAAAAGGGAAGCGUUUGACACCAGUGUUGUUUUCUCGAAAAUCAAUUAAAAAGAGUUGGAUUUUGUGUUGUAUUGACUUUAUCAGCUUUCUUCACUCUUUUCCAGCUUUUUUUAAUGCACUUUUCGUUUAACAAGUCAACAUCAGUUUCUUUUGUUGUAAGAAGGUCAUUGGAAGGUGGCUUUCUCUUCGGAGAAAGUGUUUAUAGCCUUUGACUCAUGCAAUCGGAGAGACUGAGGUCUGCAGCGUAGAUCCUUCGGGGUUAGAUACAUUUGUGCUAAGUUAUAGCUUUUCAUAGACAACUUGUUGACUAUGUUUAGUCUUGUAGCUUACUCGCUUAUGCUAUUUUACCUACGCUUAGGAUGUUGAACUCUAUCACACACAG
rnacentral:rRNA from 1 species